rnacentral:sRNA from 1 species
CCAACUGUGGGGGAACUGGCGAGUGUGAUAAAGUAACAGGGAACUGUGUUUCACCUUGCGUUGGUGGAUUCAUGGGAGCUACCUGUAGCCAAGACUGUGGAUACUGUGCAGAAGAUAAAUGUGAUCAGAACACAGGCAACUGUACCGAAUGUAAAAGUGGCUUUUUUGGACAUCUGUGUAAUCGCAAAUGCCACCAAUGCAAAGAACAAAAAUGUCACCACGAGACCGGGAAUUGUGUGGCUGGAUGUCAUGAUGGUUACAGAGGAAGUCUUUGUUU